rnacentral:rRNA from 1 species
GAGCGAACGGGGAGGAGCCCAGAGCCUGAAUCAGUGUGUGUGUUAGUGGAAGCGUCUGGAAAGGCGCGCGAUACAGGGUGACAGCCCCGUACACAAAAAUGCACAUAUUGUGAGCUCGAUGAGUAGGGCGGGACACGUGGUAUCCUGUCUGAAUAUGGGGGGACCAUCCUCCAAGGCUAAAUACUCCUGACUGACCGAUAGUGAACCAGUACCGUGAGGGAAAGGCGAAAAGAACCCCGGCGAGGGGAGUGAAAAAGAACCUGAAACCGUGUACGUACAAGCAGUGGGAGCCUCUUAAUGGGGUGACUGCGUACCUUUUGUAUAAUGGGUCAGCGACUUAUAUUCUGUAGCAAGGUUAACCGAAUAGGGGAGCCGAAGGGAAACCGAGUCUUAACUGGGCGUUAAGUUGCAGGGUAUAGACCCGAAACCCGGUGAUCUAGCCAUGGGCAGGUUGAAGGUUGGGUAACACUAACUGGAGGACCGAACCGACUAAUGUUGAAAAAUUAGCGGAUGACUUGUGGCUGGGGGUGAAAGGCCAAUCAAACCGGGAGAUAGCUGGUUCUCCCCGAAAGCUAUUUAGGUAGCGCCUCGUGAAUUCAUCUCCGGGGGUAGAGCACUGUUUCGGCAAGGGGGUCAUCCCGACUUACCAACCCGAUGCAAACUGCGAAUACCGGAGAAUGUUAUCACGGGAGACACACGGCGGGUGCUAACGUCCGUCGUGAAGAGGGAAACAACCCAGACCGCCAGCUAAGGUCCCAAAGUCAUGGUUAAGUGGGAAACGAUGUGGGAAGGCCCAGACAGCCAGGAUGUUGGCUUAGAAGCAGCCAUCAUUUAAAGAAAGCGUAAUAGCUCACUGGUCGAGUCGGCCUGCGCGGAAGAUGUAACGGGGCUAAACCAUGCACCGAAGCUGCGGCAGCGACGCUUAUGCGUUGUUGGGUAGGGGAGCGUUCUGUAAGCCUGUGAAGGUGGCCUGUGAGGGUUGCUGGAGGUAUCAGAAGUGCGAAUGCUGACAUAAGUAACGAUAAAGCGGGUGAAAAGCCCGCUCGCCGGAAGACCAAGGGUUCCUGUCCAACGUUAAUCGGGGCAGGGUGAGUCGACCCCUAAGGCGAGGCCGAAAGGCGUAGUCGAUGGGAAACAGGUUAAUAUUCCUGUACUUGGUGUUACUGCGAAGGGGGGACGGAGAAGGCUAUGUUGGCCGGGCGACGGUUGUCCCGGUUUAAGCGUGUAGGCUGGUUUUCCAGGCAAAUCCGGAAAACCAAGGCUGAGGCGUGAUGACGAGGCACUACGGUGCUGAAGCGACAAAUGCCCUGCUUCCAGG